UGAGCCUCGUAGUAGCCGCACAGCAUGUCUAGCUUCUAUAGCAAGUCCACACAAAGCCCUAAUGUUGAUCGAUCUCUCUGAAAGUGCUAGCUCGUGCAAAGACAUUUCUUGAUGGCUGAAUGCAUUCCUUCUUUGGAUCACAUGGACUCUUCUAGAUGUAAAAAGAAGGCUUUAAGGAGAAUGAAAAGAUGGUGGAAGAAGGUAAAGAUGAGACUCUCUCAACUCUCUUUUCUCUCUUUCCAAAACCCUUGAACGAACCUCAGGGUAUCCACACCAAAACCCCAUGGC
rnacentral:lncRNA from 1 species